rnacentral:rRNA from 1 species
CAGAGGUGCCAAGCGUUAGGCGGAAUCACUGGGCUUAAAGCGUGUGUAGGCGGAUUCGUAAGUACCUUGUGAGAUCCCACGGCUUAACCGUGGAACUGCUCGGUAUACUGCGUAUCUUGGGCCAUCUAGGGGCUACCGGAACAAACGGUGGAGCGGUGAAAUGCGUAGAUAUCGUUUGGAACGCCAAUGGUGAAAACAGGUAGCUGGGGAUGUGCCGACGCUGAGACACGAAAGCCAGGGGAGCGAACGGGAUUAGAUACCCCGGUAGUCCUGGCUGUAAACGAUGUCGACUAGACUGUAGUGGCUCUGACGCCUUUACGGUCGAAGCAAAAGUGCUAAGUCGACCGCCUGGGAAGUACGGUCGCAAGGCUA